CGUCCCCGGCGCUCCCGGCCGCCAUUUCAGAGCCGCGCGGGGCCAGCGGGUUGGGACAUCUGGCAGCGGCCGAACGGCACCUCCGGGGGAACUGCGUUGCCUCCGGGGCCUCGCAGAGAUCAUAAAGCGGCCGGAGCCUGGGACCCCAGGGGCUGCGGAGCCGGCGCUGACCACUGCGAGUGUGUCCGAGGACGGCCGCUCCCAGCUGUGAACCGGGAGAGCGCACCCGAGGUAUCCCAGGAAAUGGCAUGACAAACCUGUGGCAUUCAUGUUGCAUCAUUUUGAGACGAUUUCAGACAUGACAUCUGGCUUUAUGUUGCUGAAAUUCCACAUUCUAUUGAAACCUUCGGGCUGAUGUUUUCAUAUUGAAUAGAAACACCAUCAGUGUUUCUGUUCAAUAUGAAUAUUUUCUGUAAUAGACCAUAAGUACAUUUAGUAAAAAGGGAUAAUUCCUGUAAAAGCCGACACAGUGUUUCACAGGACAACACCUUUUAAUUGCCAGCACAUCUUAAGUAAGUGUUUAUGGUGAUAGAUGAAAUUAUGAGUUUGCAAAUAUAUUGUCAAAUGAUAAAGGCAUCAACACUUCAGUGUUGUGCUCAUGGCCUCAAUUUUUGAAGAUUUGAGACCUACCUCAUGUUCAAGAAUGGGAUUGUUAAUUAAAACCUGGAUGAUACAUGGAAAACAUCGAAUGUACAGUAAAAGAAAGUUGCCACUGAUGUGAAUGACAAUAUUGUGAUUUUGGGGCUGGCAGGAUGAGCAAAUAACAGAUGCACAAACGUC